GUCACAUACAUAAGAAGAUUCGAUCUGAUCGGAUGGUUGAAGAGUCCCACUGGACUGGGACUCUACUAUUAAUGGAGGAUUUAUUAAUAAUUAGAUUGCUAAUUGACUCAAUUUGAUUGAGCAAAGAGGUUUGGAUCAAGUCUAAUUGAAUUGAAUUCAGUUUGACUUAGAUUGGAUUUGAUUUAAUCAAGUCUAAUUGCAAGAAAAACUUGUUCUUGAUUUGAUCAGGACUUAAAUUUAGUUAAUUCCUAAUUAGAUUAGAAAUUUAUCGAGAUGAUUGUGUUCUUAAUUAGAUUAGAUUCCUUUCUCUCAUUGGGUUCAAACUGGAUCUGAUUUAAUUUGGAAUCAAAUUGAAAAUGAAGAGUCCCAGCCAAUUGAGACUUUCUCCCUUGCGCAAGUCCUAGGUCCCAUGCCAUCUUCUUUAAUGCAAAAUAGGUUUUGCAUGAGAUUUUUGGUUGUGAGAUAGGAAGGCACAGAGAGGGGUGGGCAGCAAUCAUGAUGAGUCAUGGUCCUUAUCUCCUUCCUAAUUUGAAUUCAAUCCGA
rnacentral:lncRNA from 1 species